UACGGAAGGCAGCAGUGGGGAAUAUUGCACAAUGGGCGCAAGCCUGAUGCAGCCAUGCCGCGUGUAUGAAGAAGGCCUUCGGGUUGUAAAGUACUUUCAGUCGUGAGGAAGGUGUUAAGGUUAAUAACCUUAGCAAUUGACGUUAGCGACAGAAGAAGCACCGGCUAACUCCGUGCCAGCAGCCGCGGUAAUACGGAGAGGGCUAGCGUUAUUCGGAAUUAUUGGGCUAAAGAGCGCGUAGGCUGAUUAGUAGUUAAAAGUGAAAUCCCAAAGCUUAACUUUGGAAUUGCUUUUUAAAAACUGCUAGUCUAGAGAUUGAAAGAGGAUAGAGGAAAUUCCUAGUGUAGAAGGUGAAAUUCGUAAAUAUUAGGAGGAACACCAAGUGGCGAAAGGCGUCUAGUCUGGUUCAAAUCUGACGCUGAGGCGCGAAGGCGUGGGGAGCAAACAGGGAUUAGAUACC
rnacentral:rRNA from 1 species